CGAAUAGGGGCAACCCUUAGUAGAGCGGCGCACGGGUGCGUAACACGUGGAUAAUCUGCCUGAGUGCUCGGGAUAACCAGUCGAAAGAUUGGCUAAUACCGGAUAAGCCCACGGUUUCUUCGGAGACUGAGGGAAAAGGUGGCCUCUGUAUACAAGCUAUCACAUUCAGAUGAGUCCGCGGCCCAUCAGCUAGUUGGCGGGGUAAUGGCCCACCAAGGCAACGACGGGUAGCUGGUCUGAGAGGACGAUCAGCCACACUGGAACUGAGACACGGUCCAGACUCCUACGGGAGGCAGCAGUGGGGAAUUUUGCGCAAUGGGCGAAAGCCUGACGCAGCAACGCCGCGUGUGUGAUGAAGGUCUUUGGAUUGUAAAGCACUUUCGACCGGGAAGAAAACCCGUUGGCUAACAUCCAACGGCUUGACGGUACCGGGAGAAGAAGCACCGGCUAACUCUGUGCCAGCAGCCGCGGUAAUACAGAGGGUGCAAGCGUUGUUCGGAAUUAUUGGGCGUAAAGCGCGUGUAGGCGGCGUGACAAGUCGGGUGUGAAAGCCCUCAGCUCAACUGAGGAAGUGCGCCCGAAACUGUCGUGCUUGAGUGCCGGAGAGGGUGGCGGAAUUCCCCAAGUAGAGGUGAAAUUCGUAGAUAUGGGGAGGAACACCGGUGGCGAAGGCGGCCACCUGGACGGUAACUGACGCUGAGACGCGAAAGCGUGGGGA
rnacentral:rRNA from 2 species